GUGAUGACCUCUUCGCUGCGCGGAUUAAUGACCAAUCCGGCGGAGCUGA
rnacentral:snoRNA from 1 species